rnacentral:rRNA from 1 species
GCUUGUCUCAAAGAUUAAGCCAUGCAUGUUCAAACAUAAGUAUUAUAAAGCGAAGUUGCGAAUGGCUCAUUAUAUCAGUUAUAAUAUACUAGAUAGUUUCUCUACUUGGAUAACCGUAGUAAUUCUAGAGCUAAUACAUGCAUGAACCCCCGACUUUUGAAGGGGUGUAUUUAUUAGAUUGAAACCAAUGCGGGUUCCCCGGUAUUUGGUGAUUCAUAAUAACUUUCGGAUCGACUUCGGUCGAUGCAUCAUUCAAGUUUCUGCCCUAUCAGCUUUGGAUGGUAGGGUAUUGGCCUACCAUGGCUUUAACGGGUAACGGAGAAUUAGGGUUCGAUUCCGGAGAGGGAGCCUGAGAAAUGGCUACCACAUCCAAGGAAGGCAGCAGG